rnacentral:misc_RNA from 1 species
AUUCAAUAAAGAUUACAUUAAUGCUACAAUGAUUACUAUGAAAUUAUUCAACUACUUUAGUUUAAAUACAGUAGAACUGUUGUCAAUGGCAGCAAAAUGUACUUUGAACGACCCUUUAAUACUUAUUCAUGAGAUUUCAUUAAUAUUGAACUAUCGGUGAACUUUUCAACUGUAGAAUCAUACAUUACAUUAAAUAAAGUCAAAUUUACGCAUAGUAACAACCUCGUUUUGCUAUGGGUCAAUAGUCUUUGUGAAAAAAAGGUUAGGGAAAGACCUUGUCAAUACUGAUCCAACAAAAGAAGAAUAGCCAAGUUUCAUUAUUGUAAUACUAUAUUAGUGGAAAGAUUUCAGUAUCACAUUGAAGCAUCAAACAUUAAACUCUGAAAAGCAAACUUGAAAUCGAUAAAAACUAUGAAAGUUUUAAAGAGUUUUGAGGAAAUUCUAUUGCUGCUAACUUUUGCAAUGUUUUUUAUCCAUGCUCUAGAAAUUUCUCCACCUCCAAAUCGAAAGAUCCGAGCAUUACCUCCACCUGGAAAGGCGCAUGGACUCCCUCCUAGCGGUAAUACAGACAAUUUACCUCCAAGUCGCAAGGUACGAGCAUUACCUCCAUCUGGAAAGGCGCAUGGACUCCCUCCUAGCGGUAAUGCGAACGGUCUACCUCCCAGUGGCAGCAGUAUCAAUAAGCAGGAACAGUAGACAUUCAAGAGAGUGAAAGUAAAACUUUUUCAGAAGAUAGAAUUCUUAACGAGAUAUUAGAUAUAUCAUUCCUUAUAUCAGAUAAUCUUGAGUUAUUAUCUCUUUUGUAGAAAAGAAAAGGAUGCUAAAAAUCAAUGAUUAUAUUGUUUUAUUGUUUAACAUUUAUCGUCAAGUGCGGACUACUAGGCUCUAUUACGUAAAAUAUUAUUGUGAGAUUUUUGCAGUAUUGCAGUAGACUAUCAAUUAAUACAAUUAUACGAAACGAAAUAAAACUAUUAAUUACGUAAUAAUAAUAAUAUUAAUAUUUAUGAAAAUUCACUCAAGUGUGAAAUGAUUUGAACAUCUAUGUCGCAAACUGAAACAAUAUUGAGCAUUUGAGUUGAAUUUGAAUUGGAUAGCCAUUUAAUAUAGAUUAAUUUACAUAAUCUAUAACCGCAACUACAUUUGAAAGAACACUUUCCCGUUUGUGAUGAUUUUAGUGAACAUUGAUAAAAGAUUCCACUCCAUAGGUCAUUUUCUUUAAAGUAUUGAUCCGCGGACGGUACGUAAACAACAACGAAAGGCAACUCCGAACUACUGGAGCACGUGAAAUUAUCACCUGUAAUAUCAACUUGAACCAUAUUUGAAUAUGGUCGAUAGAUUUGAUAUAUAAAUUUUUGCUGUUUUGUCGAGUUUAACUGAUAACAAGUUUCAUAUCUCUCAGGCGAUGACAGACCUCCCAAUUCGCAGACAUUAUCAACCAUUAGGUGUCCGUAUAAUCCAAGGUGAUCUAAAUACCGAAACGGCUCUGUUAUUAAAUUGAAAAACUGAUAACAAAGUAUUAUCUUGUUUCUGAAGAGAAAUUUGGUUUUGAGUGCGUUCGCAAAAGGAAUUCUGGGAUUUAUCGUUUAUAAUCCAUACGUAUUUACCUUUAAUUAUUACACAUACAUACAAUUUUUAAAGGUACGCUUCUACAAACUUUUUUACCUCUAACUUUAAACUUUACAGCUGCAGCAGGAUUGGUCAACAACUUACGAUGCCAUACGUAAACAAGCUCUGCAUCUGAAUUAGGAUCGUCUGGAAUUAAUUCCAAUUCUCCUAGAAUAGAUAAUAAGAAAUAGGAGAAUAUUUAUUCAUAGCACGAACAAAUAAUUUAAAACCUCCAGGUAAAAAACAUUUCGGUGUACUUGUUAACUUGAAGCAACAACCUAAAUUUGAGCAUUGUUCAGCAACGUUUACUGCCUUACCGCAUUCAAUUCUUUCAUCACUUGGCAUGUAACAUAUUUUUGAAUUAAUAGUAGAAAAAUUGUUUAGAAUUAAACCAACUAUUAAUAGAAUAUUUGAACAAUUCAUCGUUUAUUGUUGAAAUGUUCAAGUUUGAACUAAAAAUAAAGAACAAUGUCAUUUUUACCUUAUUUAUAUCAUAUUCUCAAUAAAAAGAGGAUAAUAUCAAUUUCUAAUUAAUAUAAAAAAUAAAGAAGAG